ensembl:lncRNA
GACACGAAAUUCUGUCACUGCCACGCAAUCACUGGUUAGAAUAGCUUCUGAACAAACAACAAGCUCAUUACUCUCCGCGGUCUCUGACAGAAUAUGACUUCUAACCAAGCUCCACUGUCGUCGCCAUUGUCCCCGCUUCCAUGGCAACGAGGACUCUUUCUGUCCCCUGUGCCAGGUUUUCUGUCCCCAUCUUCUUGAAACCUACAGACUGAAAGCGGAGCAAAUCUUAGAGGCAAAUGCAAGAAGCAAAAGCGGCGGGGCCUCGACUAGACAUCAGUCUGAUGUCGUCACUGAACAGAAGAGAGCUCUAUUUGCGGCUGAAUCCUGUGUGAACAAAAAAUCCAUAUCUGCCGUCUCUGUAAUCCAAAGUCCAAAGUGCCCAAUAAAUGUGUUUUCUCAUGAUGGAUUCCAUUUCAUGUUAUUGUUGCCAGCCCAAGACACACGGGUGUAAUAACCAGCAUGUUCAUGUGCCAUAUGUCAGGAAGAUGGCACAAAUGUAUUUUAUUUCAAAGAAAAAGAAAAAUCGCAAAACAAAUGGGCUGUGCCAAAAGUUUUGUUCAGUGUAUUUGAACCUUCAUUAAGACCGUUUUUGUCAUCUCAUAAAUGUCCUUAAUAUCCCUAAAAAUCACUAAUAUUUCAAUGUGUAUUCCAGAUCUCACCUGGAAUAAG